AAAUUGAAGAGUUUGAUCAUGGCUCAGAUUGAACGCUGGCGGCAGGCCUAACACAUGCAAGUCGAACGGUAACAGGAAACAGCUUGCUGUUUCGCUGACGAGUGGCGGACGGGUGAGUAAUGUCUGGGAAACUGCCUGAUGGAGGGGGAUAACUACUGGAAACGGUAGCUAAUACCGCAUAACGUCGCAAGACCAAAGAGGGGGACCUUCGGGCCUCUUGCCAUCGGAUGUGCCCAGAUGGGAUUAGCUAGUAGGUGGGGUAACGGCUCACCUAGGCGACGAUCCCUAGCUGGUCUGAGAGGAUGACCAGCCACACUGGAACUGAGACACGGUCCAGACUCCUACGGGAGGCAGCAGUGGGGAAUAUUGCACAAUGGGCGCAAGCCUGAUGCAGCCAUGCCGCGUGUAUGAAGAAGGCCUUCGGGUUGUAAAGUACUUUCAGCGGGGAGGAAGGGAGUAAAGUUAAUACCUUUGCUCAUUGACGUUACCCGCAGAAGAAGCACCGGCUAACUCCGUGCCAGCAGCCGCGGUAAUACGGAGGGUGCAAGCGUUAAUCGGAAUUACUGGGCGUAAAGCGCACGCAGGCGGUUUGUUAAGUCAGAUGUGAAAUCCCCGGGCUCAACCUGGGAACUGCAUCUGAUACUGGCAAGCUUGAGUCUCGU
rnacentral:rRNA from 1 species